CCUAGAGGGACUGCCGGCGACAAGUCGGAGGAAGUGGGGAUGACGUCAAAUCAUCAUGCCCCUUAUGACCUGGGCUACACACGUGCUACAAUGGGCGGUACAAAGGGCUGCGAACCCGCGAGGGGGAGCGAAUCCCAAAAAGCCGCUCUCAGUUCGGAUUGCAGGCUGCAACUCGCCUGCAUGAAGCCGGAAUCGCUAGUAAUCGCGGAUCAGCAUGCCGCGGUGAAUACGUUCCCGGGCCUU
rnacentral:rRNA from 1 species